GCGAAGAUGGCGGAAUACGGUAGACGCUCUAGCUUCAGGUGCUAGUAUCCUUAUGGAUGUAAGGGUUCAAAUCCCUUUCUUCGCA
rfam:Candidatus Pantoea carbekii DNA, complete genome.